AUGGAGAACUUAUAUCUGUGCUGUAUACAUGUAAUUCUGGACAUUUGAAUUCCACUCUGACUUUCAUGGCAGGCACCAUGGCUUUACCGGUCGGAAACUAAUGUAGGAGUCUAAUGUAUGCAGCCGGCUUAUAAAUCUAUUGUGUUCCAGGGAAUUUGGAUCCAACAUUAGUGAGUAAAUCUAUUUCUCGGUACAUUUUGAUGUUUUUUUAGUCCUUUAUUGCUGCAACAUUGUUGACCAUAGUCAGAGAUACCAAGA
rnacentral:lncRNA from 1 species